UCCCUUCCUGAAUUUCUCAGGGCGGUUUUUAAUAGAAAGCGGGGGCAGCCCCACUCGACGCUGGCUUGCAGAUGAACGUGUGUAGGAGGAGGACGCGGAUCGCACUGCGCGGCCGCAGCCCUCCUCCGCCGGAAGCAACGCGCGUUUGGGGGAGCGGAGCAGCGCAGAGCCGGGUGGGAUUUGCUUCGGAGCGAGUGCGCAAUGGAAACCAGUAGGGAGGUUGCGCCCGGCGGCAGCCCGGUCCUGACACUGUGUACCUGGAAGUCAGGUCCCCCCCCCAUUGAGUGCAACGGGGCUUCCUCGUGACUAAGUGCCGAAGAGAAGCGGCUCAGCGGUGCUGAAGGAUGCCAGCGUAGAAGCAGUCUUAACUCCAGAGGCCGACCAGAAGCCCAUGGGAACCCGUACAGAGGACAUAAGCACAGCCACACUCUUGUGAAUCCUAGCAACUGGCCUUCAGAGGCAUGUCUUCCAUCUCCAGCGCUGAAGGCAGAAAAUAGCCACUAUACACAAAUAUAAGAUGGGGGACACCUGGCUCGCCAGCAGUACAUGCAGAAAGGAUCUAGGGGGUCCUAGCAGAAAGAAAAGAAAAACGAAUGCUAUUCUUGGAUCCAGUAACAGAAGUAUAGUGUUCAGAACAAGGGAAGUCAAAGUCCUGUUCUUUUCUGCUUUGGUCAGAUCACUCCUGGAGUACUGUGUCCAGUUCUGGGCAGCACAAUUUAAAAAGGAUAUUGAUAAGCUGGAACUGG